GUGGAAUGUGAUGAUUUGAUACAUGUUUAUAUUGCAAAAUGGUUACUAUAAUAGGAUUUGUUAACAUAUCCAUCACCUUACAUAAUUGUCAUUUUUUUGUAUAUGUGGUAACAGCUUUCAAGAUCUACUCUUUAGCAACUUUCAAGUCCGUUAGCUAUAGUCACCAUUCGGUAUAUUAGAUCCCUAGAACUUAUACCUGAAAGUUUAUGCCCUUUAACCAAUAUAUCCCCAUUUCCACCCCCCUCCAGCUCCUGGUAACCACCAUUUUACUCUGUUUCUUUGAGUUUGCCUUUUUUAGAUUCCACAGACAAGUGAGCUCAUAUUUCUCUCUCCUUGUAUGACUUACCUCACUGAGUGUAAUGCACUCAGGGUUCAUCCAUGUUGUUACAAAGGCAGAGUUUCCUUCUUUUCUGUGGCUGAAUAAUAUUCUUUACAUAUAAUUUUCUUUAUCUGUUCUUCCAUCAAUGGGUAUUUACAUUGUUUUCAUAUCUUGGCUAUUGUGAAUAAUGCUGCAGUGAACACAUGGCUAUAGUUACCUCUUCAAGGUAGAGAUUUCAUUUCCAGAAGUGGAACUGCUGGAUCAAAUGGUAGUUCUAUUUUUAACUUUUUGAGGAACCUCCCUAUUAUUUUCCAUAGUGGCUGCAUCAGUUUACAUUCCUACCAAGACUGUACAAGGGUCAUAUUUAUAAUGCAUAAUUGAGAUAGAUAUCAUUAAUGGUUGGCAGGGCUUUCACAUUGAUUCCCUGACCUGUGGAUUAAGAACCAGAACGAUAGGAAGAGUUAUAUGGAUGCCCUGAAACUAUUCCUAUGCUUCGCCAUGGUAAUAAACCAGAAGGAUGUGCCUGAUGUCAAACCUUAUCUCUUCCAGAAAGCCGGAGGAAUUUUCUGCUUCCUAGAAAGUGAAAUUUCUGGAUUCCAUCAUUAGGUUUUAAUGUUCCACAAACUCCCAAGUGCCUUGGCAUCAGUAUUUAUUUCUAUAAAGAAAGACCACUGGUGUGAGAAGCUUGUACAACACUUUCAUGUAACUCAGGGUAUGCCCGUCUGGCAGGACACCUAAAGCUGAUUGUAAUACUCUACUGAGGUGGUUCUUUGAAGCUUUGACAUCAGGCUAGCCCCAGCUUUUGAUGACUGGUGGAGAAGAGGCUACUUGUUCCUACACAGUUAGCUUGUAGCAAGUCUCUCUGGGACUCAGGAUUGUAAGAAAAGUGGUCACUGGCACAAAAUGAUGACUUUGAUCACCAACUCUUUAUGUAAUGUGAUCAUCCCUGCAAUUCAUGUAGGGACAGACACCUGAGAGCUUUAAAAUGACAUUAUUAUUUUUAUUAGAUGACGCAUUGAAAUGAAAUUUAUUUACUUUUAGAAUCCCAAAUGAAUUAAGCCUGGUAAUUUGCAUAUAUAUAAAGUGGUUAUAAACCACAUUUCUUCCUUCCUUUGCUUUCCAGUAUAGUCCUGAAAAACCAGUCUUUGAGGAGUUAAUUUUUAGUGCCUAGCUAAGGUUAGCAAGUGUUUUCAUGUGGCCCAUCUAGAACGAUGAUGAUGAUGAUAAAUACUAACAGGGCACUUAUUAUGGGCCAGUGUUGUUCUAAGUGCUUUACAUAUAUAAAAUCAGUUGAGUCUUUGCAACCUUAUAAGGUAGGUCUGAUGUCAUCCUCUUUUUACAGAUAGUCUUUUCUUCAUCAUUUUUUAAAAGAUUUUAUUAAUUUACUCAGAAGAGACACAGCCUCUAGCACACCAGCCGUGGCAUAAACUUCUUACACUGAAGCUUGGGGCUCCCCAGACACCCAGGUGGAAGCUGCGACUCUUCUUGUGAACAAGCCUCAGGGAUUUCAGAACAAUACUUCUACCACAUGAAAUAAGUCACUGAAGCCAGCUCAGAUGCAAAGCGAGGAAACAAUAUCUGCUUCCUGCUCCUGACGAGAAGCCUCCAGCAGGGAAAAAGAACCACAGGCUGCUGUGACUUCGUCCUUCAUCUUUCCCUAGAAAAAUUGCUAGAGAAGCUAAGGAGUCCAGAACCUCCUGCAACUGGAUGCAGCAUCUUAUGUGGAGACUCAGUUUCUAGAAAGAAGAGCCAUCGCUUUCAUCAGCGGGAGUGGGUGGAGGUCUGUGGAGCAGAUGAGAAUAACAUUCAUGAGAAUUUAAGUUCUGUGCAAAAAUUUUGUUUAAUGGACACCAACUGAAUGUGCCAAGUUUCUACUUUUGAUUGAAUUCUUGGAGACUUUGAUAAAUAUUCAUUGAUCCUGGAGUCUGUUUCUAAUUUUUAAAAACUGAGUAAUAUAUUCUAGAAAUACUAGUUGUUUUUUUUAAGAUUUUAUUUAUUUAUUCAUGAGAGACACACACAGGAGGAG